AUGGAGUCGUCGCAGUCACGGCAGAAGAGCGCCCUGUCGUCCACGCAGAAGACGAAGGCCGGCUUGUCCUGGCACACGUCGCAGCGCGGGAGGCCGGGGGCGGCCUCGAGCGGCAGGCGCUGGUGCUUGCUGGCCAGCUUGUUGGCGGCGUGGAUCUGCACGUCGCAGCGCGCGCACAGCGCCGCCUCGUCUGCACAGCACACCACCGUCGCCGCCGCGCCCUCGCACGCGUCGCACUGGAUCCUCAUGCCUUCACUUCCUGGCUUUGGUCGCUCGCUCUACGGCUCAGCUCAGCUCAGCUCAGGCUUCACGUGCGUGCGUCGAUCAGCUACUGGUCGAGAAAUGAUGGGAGAUGGGAGUGGAGAGGCGACGGCGAGGAACGAGCGGCGUAUAAAUUGCUGCGACGUGCACGGGCGCGCACGCUGGAGCUUCGUGUGGACGAGAGAGGCCCUGCAGUUAGGCGACGGCCGGUCACUGAUGAGCAGUGCCUCUCGCCGCGACCGGGAAUUUGAUUUGGCUUCGAUUUGA
rnacentral:rRNA from 1 species